AUUGAACGCUGGCGGCAUGCCUUACACAUGCAAGUCGAACGGUAACGCGGGGCAACCUGGCGACGAGUGGCGAACGGGUGAGUAAUGCAUCGGAACGUGCCCAGUAGUGGGGGAUAGCCCGGCGAAAGCCGGAUUAAUACCGCAUACGACCUACGGGUGAAAGGGGGGGAUCGCAAGACCUCUCGCUAUUGGAGCGGCCGAUGUCAGAUUAGGUAGUUGGUGGGGUAAAGGCCCACCAAGCCUUCGAUCUGUAGCUGGUCUGAGAGGACGACCCGCCACACUGGGACUGAUACACGGCCCAGACUCCUACGGGAGGCAGCAGUGGGGAAUUUUGGACAAUGGGCGCAAGCCUGAUCCAGCCAUGCCGCGUGCGGGAAGAAGGCCUUCGGGUUGUAAACCGCUUUUGUCAGGGAAGAAACGCUCUGGGCUAAUACCUCGGGGUAAUGACGGUACCUGAAGAAUAAGCACCGGCUAACUACGUGCCAGCCGCCGCCGUAA
rnacentral:rRNA from 1 species